GACGAACGCUGGCGGCGUGCUUAACACAUGCAAGUCGAACGGAAAGGCCCUGCUUUUGUGGGGUGCUCGAGUGGCGAACGGGUGAGUAACACGUGAGUAACCUGCCCUUGACUUUGGGAUAACUUCAGGAAACUGGGGCUAAUACCGGAUAGGAGCUCCUGCUGCAUGGUGGGGGUUGGAAAGUUUCGGCGGUUGGGGAUGGACUCGCGGCUUAUCAGCUUGUUGGUGGGGUAGUGGCUUACCAAGGCUUUGACGGGUAGCCGGCCUGAGAGGGUGACCGGCCACAUGGGGACGGAGAUACGGCCCAGACUCCGACGGGAGGCAGCAGUGGGGAAUAUUGCACAAUGGGCGGAAGGCUGAUGCAGCAACGCCGGGUGCGGGAUGACGGCCUUCGGGUUGUAAACCGCUUUCGCCUGUGACGAAGCGUGAGUGACGGUAAUGGGUAAAGAAGCACCGGCUAACUACGUG
rnacentral:rRNA from 1 species